ACGAACGCUGGCGGCGUGCUUAACACAUGCAAGUCGAGCGAGAGCCAGCUGAGGGGUAACCCUCGGCUGGGGACAGCGGCGAACGGGUGCGUAACACGUGGGCAACCUGCCCCUGACACUGGGAUAACCCCGGGAAACCGGAGCUAAUACCGGAUACUCUCGGCCGAUCACAUGGCUGGCCGAGGAAAGGUCCGCCGGUCAGGGAUGGGCCCGCGGCCUAUCAGCUUGUUGGUGGGGUAACGGCCCACCAAGGCGACGACGGGUAGCUGGUCUGAGAGGACGACCAGCCACACUGGAACUGGGAUACGGUCCAGACUCCUACGGGAGGCAGCAGUGGGGAAUAUUGCACAAUGGGCGAAAGCCUGAUGCAGCGACGCCGCGUGAGGGAUGAAGGCCUUCGGGUCGUAAACCUCUUUCGGCAGGGACGAAGCGAUCAGUGACGGUACCUGCAGAAGAAGCCCCGGCUAACUACGU
rnacentral:rRNA from 1 species